rnacentral:rRNA from 1 species
UAGCGUAUCGUUUGACGUUAGCGACAGAAGAAGCACCGGCUAACUCCGUGCCAGCAGCCGCGGUAAUACGGAGGUGCGAGCGUUAAUCGGAAUUACUGGGCGUAAAGCGCAUGCAGGUGGUUUGUUAAGUCAGAUGUGAAAGACCCGGGCGUCAACCUCGGAAUAGCAUUUGUAAACUAGGCAGACUAGAGUACUGUAGAGGGGGGUAGGAAUUUCAGGUGUAGCGGUGAAAUGCGUAGAGAUCUGAAGGAAUACCGGUGGCGAAGGCGGCCCCCUCGGACAGAUACUGACACUCAGAUGCGAAAGCGUGGGGAGCAAACAGGAUUAGAUACCCUGGUAG